rnacentral:rRNA from 1 species
UACGUAGGGGGCAAGCGUUGUCCGGAUUUAUUGGGCGUAAAGAGCGUGUAGGCGGCCAGGCAGGUCCGUUGUGAAAACUCGAGGCUCAACCUCGAGACGUCGAUGGAAACCGUCUGGCUAGAGUCCGGAAGAGGAGAGUGGAAUUCCUGGUGUAGCGGUGAAAUGCGCAGAUAUCAGGAAGAACACCUAUGGCGAAGGCAGCUCUCUGGGACGGUACUGACGCUGAGACGCGAAAGUGUGGGGAGCGAACAGG